AAUGCAAAGGAGGCACUAUUAACACUUGUGAGGAAAUAUGGCCAGCAGAUCCUGGCUUUAACACCACGUAGCAGUCGGCAUCAGGCUGAUGUUGAAGAUCCGGACAACCCCUAUCACUCUACUGUAGCCGUGCUGAUGUCCGUGCCUCGUUUGGUGAAGGAAGACCCCACUGCCAUAAUUGCACAGCUGGUGCCUGGUGAAAGCCAUGCCUAUCCGAAACUGUUACACUCAGCAGAUCAUCCGGCGACGUCUUCAGCCCUCCUCGUAGCAUUUGAAACGCUACAACUCACUGCCACGGACAUCAUCGAUGGUUUCGCUUUGCUGUUAGCUGUGUUUUGGGCCUAAUGUCCAGUAUACAGCUAAGGCAAAGCGGACGUGUCUCCUGUUGGAGGCCUUGAUGGGCCUUGAACCAAGUGCUUUUGCACCCAGCGUUGUAAAGGCUGCCACAGCAGUCAUGCGGGUGGACAGCAAUGCACAAUAGGAUGGCAGAGG
rnacentral:lncRNA from 1 species